rnacentral:rRNA from 1 species
GACGAACGCUGGCGGCGUGCUUAACACAUGCAAGUCGAACGGAAAGGCCCUGCUUUUGUGGGGUGCUCGAGUGGCGAACGGGUGAGUAACACGUGAGUAACCUGCCCUUGACUUUGGGAUAACUUCAGGAAACUGGGGCUAAUACCGGAUAGGAGCUCCUGCUGCAUGGUGGGGGUUGGAAAGUUUCGGCGGUUGGGGAUGGACUCGCGGCUUAUCAGCUUGUUGGUGGGGUAGUGGCUUACCAAGGCUUUGACGGGUAGCCGGCCUGAGAGGGUGACCGGCCACAUUGGGACUGAGAUACGGCCCAGACUCCUACGGGAGGCAGCAGUGGGGAAUAUUGCACAAUGGGCGGAAGCCUGAUGCAGCAACGCCGCGUGCGGGAUGACGGCCUUCGGGUUGUAAACCGCUUUCGCCUGUGACGAAGCGUGAGUGACGGUAAUGGGUAAAGAAGCACCGGCUAACUACGUGCCAGCAGCCGCGGUGAUACGUAGGGUGCGAGCGUUGUCCGGAUUUAUUGGGCGUAAAGGGCUCGUAGGUGGUUGAUCGCGUCGGAAGUGUAAUCUUGGGGCUUAACCCUGAGCGUGCUUUCGAUACGGGUUGACUUGAGGAAGGUAGGGGAGAAUGGAAUUCCUGGUGGAGCGGUGGAAUGCGCAGAUAUCAGGAGGAACACCAGUGGCGAAGGCGGUUCUCUGGGCCUUUCCUGACGCUGAGGAGCGAAAGCGUGGGGAGCGAACAGGCUUAGAUACCCUGGUAGUCCACGCUGUAAACGGUAGGUACUAGGUGUGGGGUCCAUUCCACGGGUUCCGUGCCGUAGCUAACGCUUUAAGUACCCCGCCUGGGGAGUACGGCCGCAAGGCUAAAACUCAAAGGAAUUGACGGGGCCCCGCACAAGCGGCGGAGCAUGCGGAUUAAUUCGAUGCAACGCGUAGAACCUUACCUGGGUUUGACAUGGAUCGGGAGUGCCCAGAGAUGGGUGUGCCUCUUUUGGGGUCGGUUCACAGGUGGUGCAUGGCUGUCGUCAGCUCGUGUCGUGAGAUGUUGGGUUAAGUCCCGCAACGAGCGCAACCCUUGUUCACUGUUGCCAGCACGUUAUGGUGGGGACUCAGUGGAGACCGCCGGGGUCAACUCGGAGGAAGGUGGGGAUGACGUCAAGUCAUCAUGCCCCUUAUGUCCAGGGCUUCACGCAUGCUACAAUGGCUGGUACAGAGAGUGGCGAGCCUGUGAGGGUGAGCGAAUCUCGGAAAGUCGGUCUCAGUUCGGAUUGGGGUCUGCAACUCGACCUCAUGAAGUCGGAGUCGCUAGUAAUCGCAGAUCAGCAACGCUGCGGUGAAUACGUUCCCGGGGCU